UACGUAGGUGGCAAGCGUUGUCCGGAUUUACUGGGCGUAAAGAGCGCGCAGGCGGUCGUUCAAGUCGCGUGUGAAAGCCCCCGGCUCAACUGGGGAGGGUCACGCGAUACUGAUCGACUCGAAGGCAGGAGAGGGAAGUGGAAUUCCCGGUGUAGUGGUGAAAUGCGUAGAUAUCGGGAGGAACACCUGCGGCGAAGGCGGGUUGCUGGGCCGACACUGACGCUGAUGCGCGAAAGCUAGGGGAGCGAACGGG
rnacentral:rRNA from 1 species